rnacentral:tRNA from 2 species
UCCCUGGUAGCUCAGAGGUUAAAGCAUCUGCCUGCAAUGCAGGAGACCCAGGUUCAAUUCCUGGCUUGGGAA